ensembl:scaRNA
CUUGUUCAUAGUGUGAAAGGUUUGUGUUUGGAGUGUGUGAGUGUGGAGUGUGUGGCGACUGCUUGAGAGAGUGUAUGGUGUUUGUGUGAGUGUUCGAGUGAAUGUGUUUCUGUAAAAAAAAAAAUCUACACAGUGAUCUUAUUUGAUCCGGUCAGAGUUCGGCUCUGCUCCGAUCGGAGAUGAUAGGAAAAACGCUCGCGAGCCUCCGAGGCGAUGAAGCGAGACGUGAAAGCUCCAGGGCCUUCCACUGCUUCGUGCUGUGGUGAGAGGUGAUGAUUUGAUCAGAUAUACUAGUUCUGGGCCGAGUCCGAGGUUCUCCUCGGGCUUCGCACGGGACAAUGAGUAUAGAGGCGAUUCUGAUCUGA